GCUAGGUUGACAAGCUGUAAAUACACGACCUUUCUUUUGACACGGGUAAAUACAUGAUCUGGAGUUCUGGACGAAUUCAUCUCGUGAUUCUGAGGUGACAUCGAUUCAACUGGUUCAAUUCAUGCUUGAGAGACGGACAAUAUAUUUGAACACUCCCUCAUGUCUAAAUUUAUUUAAUCCUUGAAUGUGGGGUUGAUAAAGGAAAUCUUUUUAAUACCGUUGUUCAGGGUUUUUGAACUCAUGACCUCCAGACUUAGAUAUCAUAUUAAAAUCAUGCAUGAGCUAGUUGCUUCAAAAGUCUGAACUAAUAAAAAAAUGAGCAAUAAAUUUCAACACUCGCUACACUCUUUGGAAUUCAUUUCGUUGAUAUUUUAUUUGUGACUUGCAAGGAUCUCAAAAAAGAAGAGCGAAAGUACCUUUCUAUGGCUGGGCUCAAAUGCUCCCGAUGAGAACGAAUUUCAUCACGAAAUCAUAUCGAUGGAAGUCUGGACAAAGAAAAUCAGAGCUUAAAAAUGUGUUUGUUCUCUUCGGAUGCACAGGUAUUCUUCGUUCGCGGUCCACCUUACAACGGGCGGAGUUUCGAGGCCAUUUUGCGGAGGCUUGUGUGCAACUGGAAAAGGUGGCGAGGGGUAUUUUUUAUCCCACAUGGGUGACAACUUGAUCUCGAGAUAGGUUCUCCAUAUGCGACGACGACUUACGUCUGCAUGAUUGUAUUACAUCUGUUGAUGUUCUAUUUACCAUACUUUUGGUCUAUGACUGUAUGCAUUUUAGCUA